GGGGGCGACACGGUUUCGACGGGGGCAGUUGAUGCCCAAGUUGCAUGCCGGGGCCUCACCGGCCCGUGACCCGGUGGGAAAUAAAGUAAUCGCAGACGAUUACGCAUACGCCGUAGCCGCGUAAAUAGGCUACCGUCCGCUCAGCCCAUUCCCGCGGGGCUGAUGUCGGGCGCCGACUAGUGGGAUAGGUUUCCGGCAUCGCCUGGCCGGCCGGAAACCGAAAACAAAGGCGAGGCUGGUUCGCCAGGAACCCUGUCAGUGGGGGUCCUUGAGAACGAGACUUUAAAACACUGAAUAAGCAUGUAGACGCUUGGGUUGAAAGCCUUCGGACGGGGGUUCGAUUCCCCCCGCCUCCACCA
rnacentral:tmRNA from 1 species